UUGCACAGGCGCCUGUCGAGGGAUUGCUGUUACAGACGAGUCACGCCGCUGAAUGUUUGAGCUCUGCAACGCACGCCACUGUGCUUUCGCGUAAACGUGAGUCGGCACAUAACUUUCAAGAACCGAUCGAGCUGCGAGUCAUAGCAUCAGUUGUACAAAAGGGGACUUCAGAGGCGCGAACAGUGGCCAUGCGUUCAGCGACCACAACAAUUCUAACGUUUGCCAUGGUAAUUGUGGCAGCUUCCACAUCCAGCGAAAAAGAGUGUGUCUUCACGGACCUGGACUUGAAGGGGGCUCUCAAAGCUACCUUUAACUCACUUAUCUAAGUACCAAGUGCACGUUUAUGAAGACAUGAGCUCCUACGGAAAUCUUUUAAUUAUCGAGUGCUGCAACGUAACUGGACUUAGUCAUCUACGCCAGUACGGACCACUGCUGCCAUACUGCGUGAAAGGUGCACGCAAGCUUCAAGUUGACCUUCUCCAUGAUGAUCCCAUUGAAGUGGCCAUGAAGUGGUGGACCUACAGAGGAGUAAAGGGAAUGUUUGUGCUUGGUGCUGUCCUAUCGAGAUUUACUCUUCAGUUCGAAGUCAUCACAGGGCCAUCCGAAAACAGCACUACCCUGAAGUUGGAAGAUCCCGUGGUUCCCGUGGUCACUGGCAGAACUUAUGCUGUUGUAGGGGACGUUGGAGAAAUUGCACAAGCUGCGACAGAGUUUUGGAGCAAUAUGCUGCCCUCUUUGACAGAACGCGCGUGGAAAUACUAUUUCUUUGAUCACUUACGGCGGGCCAUACGCGACACUGAGCGUGACUUAUUUAAUGCACUUUCACUAGUGACUACGGAAAUGGUUAACUUAGGUUAGUUCAAUAUCUUUGCGAAAAAAAUGCAUUCUUAUCGUUUUAAAAGCAAAAUGCGUGCUAUAAGAUGUUGUCAAUGAUCACAUAAACAUUCCGCCGAAUUGUUCACCAAGCGUUCGGCUAAUAAUGCCUAAGACAGCUCUAGAGGCGUCGCCCAUAUUACCGAAGCGUAGCAGCUAUUACUCGAGGGUCUACAGAAAAAACGUUCUUCCCAUAAGUUAUCUCCUAUAACUUCCUAAUGUAGGGUCACCGAAAGUGCAGCUUGUCACUCAUGUAUAUAGCGAGUGCCUAUCGGUGCUUACUGCUACUAUGUGAAAAUGCCAGUUCAACCUAAGGUUGUUCCAGAAAGAGUUGGAAAAGGGAAUCUGAGACAAAAUAAUCAGCCGCUGAAUGUCCCCAUAGCAUAGUUUACGAAUAUGUAGCAACUGUUUACAAAAUGGUACCCGUGAAUUAGCAUUUUUUUGCUGCAUUCUAGCACAGACUGCAAUUUUCUUCCUGGCUUCAUUGUUACCACGGAUGAAUAAAUCGAAUGUUUAUAAACAUGACGACUGAAUAA